AGAAGGCCCUCGGGUUGUAAAGCACUUUCAGCGAGGAAGAACGCCUAGCGGUUAAUACCCGUUAGGAAAGACAUCACUCGCAGAAGAAGCACCGGCUAACUCCGUGCCAGCAGCCGCGGUAAUACGGAGGGUGCAAGCGUUAAUCGGAAUUACUGGGCGUAAAGCGCGCGUAGGUGGCUUGAUAAGCCGGUUGUGAAAGCCCCGGGCUCAACCUGGGAACGGCAUCCGGAACUGUCAAGCUAGAGUGCAGGAGAGGAAGGUAGAAUUCCCGGUGUAGCGGUGAAAUGCGUAGAGAUCGGGAGGAAUACCAGUGGCGAAGGCGGCCUUCUGGACUGACACUGACACUGAGGUGCGAAAGCGUGGGUAGCAAACAGGAUUAGAUACCCUGGUAGUCCACGCCGUAAACGAUGUCGACCAGCCGUUGGGUGCCUAGCGCACUUUGUGGCGAAGUUAACGCGAUAAGUCGACCGCCUGGGGAGUACGGCCGCAAGGUUAAAACUCAAAUGAAUUGACGGGGGCCCGCACAAGCGGUGGAGCAUGUGGUUUAAUUCGAUGCAACGCGAAGAACCUUACCUACUCUUGACAUCCUGCGAAUUUGGUAGAGAUACCUUAGUGCCUUCGGGAACGCAGAGACAGGUGCUGCAUGGCUGUCGUCAGCUCGUGUUGUGAAAUGUUGGGUUAAGUCCCGUAACGAGCGCAACCCUUGUCCU
rnacentral:rRNA from 1 species